UUCAGAAUGGCGAAGUGGAAAUCGCGCUGGGUUAAUGGCCCGGAAGUCGCAGGUUCGAAUCCUGCUUCUGAAU
rnacentral:tRNA from 1 species